AUACUUACCUGGCAGGGGAGACACCAGGGUCAUGAAGGUGGUUUUUCCAGGCUAAGCUUAUCCAUUGCACUCCGGAUGUGCAGACCCCUGCGAUUUCCCCAAAUGCAGGAAACUCAACUGCAUGAUUGGUGGUAGGGGGUCUGUGUUCAUGCCCUCCCUUU
rnacentral:snRNA from 1 species